GGGACAUCGAGCUACUGUGCUGCUAUGAAGACUGAUGGUUCAUGGGAAAGUCUUCAGUGCACAGGGACGCGAUAUUUCAUGUGCUAUGAAGAAGAUGUUUCUUCACAGACUCCUAAUUAUCAUCUAAUCCUUGAGAAUAAGACCUGGUCUGGUGCUCAGCGUUACUGCAGGGGGAACUACACUGACCUGGUCAGUAUCAGAGAUCAGCAGCAGAAUGAAGAGGUGAAGAUUAAAGGGUUAAACAGCACCACGUCCUUCUGGAUCGGCCUGCUGUGUGAUGACUGGAAGUGGACCGAUGGAGGAAACUCCGCCUACAGAAACUGGGCCUGGGGGAGUGGCCAACCUCGGCCAUCACCAUACGACUGUGUAGUAUCGAGAGAAUGGGGAUGGAAUUCAGUACCUUGCAGUGAUAAUUACGUCCCUCUGUGCUACAGCGCUUUUUCUCCUCCAGUCCACAGCCGUCUCACUACAUUCCAGAUCAUUCCGAGUGGCAUGACUCAGACUGCGGCUCGGGCAGCUUGCAGAGAAAAUUACAUCG
ensembl:lncRNA